UUAUUUUUUUUUAAAAAGCUUUUAAUAUACAAGAGAUAAAGAGAUGAAAAUGAUAUAUUUAUUUAUUUCACUUGGGAAUAGGUAAGUGGAACCUAAUUACUAAGAUUUAAAGAUCUCUUUUCACUUCAGACAUUACAACUCCAUGCAAACUCUUUGAAAGUAGGUAUUCAUGUGAAGUAUAAGGGCAAUACUGUUACUUAGAGUGAAGUCUGGAAUCAGUGUAUGUACAUGAGUAGUGUAUUAGGGCUCUCCAGAAAAACACAACAUAUACCUAUAUCUAUUCUAUAUCUGUAUAUCUAGUCUAUAUAUCCAUAUCCAUAUCUGUAUCCGUAGCCAUAUCCAUAUCCAUAUCCAUAUCCAUAUCCAUAUCCAUAUCUAUAUCUAGAGGGAGAUUUACCUUAAGUAAUUGGCUCACAUGAUUAUGGAGGCUGGUCAGUCCAAAAUAUGUAGGCUGGUCUGGCAGGCUGGAGACCCAAAGAAAAGCCAAACAGUUCAAGUCCAAAGGCUGUCUGCUGCAGAAUUCCCUCUUUGUUGGGAGUAGUCAGUCUUUGGUUUUAUUUAGGUCUUCACCUGAUUGGAUGAAUCCCACCCACAUUAUGGGCAACAUUCUGCCCACCAUAAAGUCCACCAGUUUAAAUGUUAAUUUCAUCCAAAAACACUGUCAUGGAACUAUCCAGAAUCAUGUUUGAUCACAUAUCUAGGUAGUGUGGCCGAGCCAAGUUAACACACAACAUCAACUGUCAUAGGUAGGCAGAAGGUGCCUCAGGAACCGAUACAAUUAGUAAAAGCUGGGCUCUGAAGACUGCAUAACCCCUUUUCUCCUCACCAUAGUAAGAAGAGCAGAACCAGCUAGUACUCUAAUUAAACAGGGUAAGCAUGAGAUAAUGAAUUCAGGAAGAAAGCUCUAGGCUACUGCAUUGAAUUCUAAUUUUUGCUUGCUUGCAUCCCAUCCUCACCCUCCAUCAUUAGAAUAUUCUUCUGUUUUGCUAAGUCAGCCAGUCAUUCUCUCUUGUUGACCAAUACCUGGAUCUGUGUCUUGCAAAGAAUAAUGUCUUAUAAAGAUUUACUAGGCCAUAUCCAAAUCAAGGGUCAUAUAUAUCAUUUAUUCAUUCAUUCAUCCAUUUAUUCAUUCCUUUAUCUAUUUAACAAAUAUUUAUUAAGAAAGUAUUAAAUGCCAAAAAUUCUUCUAGGUUUUGGGGACCAAACAAACACUGAACAAAGUGGAUGUAGUUCUGGUCUUUAUGGAGCAUACUGCCUGUGAAGUAAGAUGGAUAAUAAACCAAUAGUUUUAUAUUGCUCAAAUAAUUACCUUAUUAUAGAUGUAGUAAAUAGCAUGAAGAAAAAGUAUGGGGCUCAAUGACAGGAUGUACAGGAUAACACAAGAAUGAGUAAAAGUAACAGACACUUAGAGAUGACAAUAAAACUUAUUUCUUUGUAUCUCAGUCUAACCCAUACAAUCCCAUUUAUAAAUGCUCCAUAAUCUGUUUGCUUAUGGCUGGAAACACAUGAGCAUGGUGAUUCUUGAAGCUAUGUGUUGAGAACAGCAGAACCACACAUUGAAAGCAGCUUGGAUUUCUGAAACCCUGCAUUGAAGGCCACCCACCAAAUGCCAGAAUUGGACUGUUAUGUAUACACUCAGAGGAAAAACAAAAACAAAAACAGAAACAAAAACAAAAAAAAUUGUGAAGACACAGGGAGAAGAUGACCAUCUGCAAGCCAAGCAAAAAGGUUAAGAAGAAACAAAUUCUGCUGACACCUUAAUCUUGGACUUCUAUCCUUCAGAACUGUGAAGAAAUAAGUUUCUGUUUAAGUCACCCAGUCUAUAUUAUUUGUUACAACAGUUCAAACAAAUAUAAUUCCUGACGCAGGCUUCAUGCAAUUUUAUUCUCCUUUCUCGGUAAUGAUUUUCUCCUCUGUUAGAUGCCCUAACUAUAAGUGAUGAAAACUAAAUGUGUGUAAUUGUUAGAGAACAUCAAAGAAAAUAAAAGCCCUCAUUCUUGCUUAAUUGAUCUGCCCAUUUUUAGGAAGUAUCUUCUUUUAUACCUAGGUUAAGCAGAUUCAGACUUUCUCUAUAAAAUACAAUUCUUUUCUCCUCUCCUUUAAAAAAUAUGUAUGUGAUUUUCUGAUGAUAAUCAUUUUGUUGAAUUAUUUUUAACCCUGUUUUGCAAAUAAUCAUUCACCAGAAUAUUGCUGAUGGUCAUGAGAGUAGGAGAGAACUUAUUUUACUACGCUGGUUGGGAAACAAGUUUGGUUAGUUAGUUUACACAGUUUGUUGUAUUGAUUUGAACCAUUUAUGUUUUGGUUUAUGUUUUUUUUUUUUCUGAUAAGACACAUUGGGAGAAGAAAGUCGGAUGAGAUUUUAAGUCCCACCUAGCUCUGUUACUAAAUAACCAUGUUAUCUUGAGUUAACUAACUGGAUUUUCUGAGUCUACUAACUACUUUGUAAUAUGGCAUUAAUUUCAUGGUUGCCUUACCUGGUCAUUUAUUCAUAAUUCAAUAAAGAAACAAGCAGGCAUUGAGGAAUGCCUGUAUGCCAGGCACUGUAUUAGA